ACGACAUCUUCCUCAUCGCGGCACGUUCUUCUGUUGUGUGACAUGGAGCCAGAAAUGGCACGCUCUCUAGUUCUUUGGUUUCUAUGUAUGUCAAGUUUGACUCCUGGCUACAGUUGGGCAAAGCUGUGUGAAAUGUCCCCAUCAAGUACAUGUAGAAAAGGGAAACCAGGAACUCUUGACCUUUGCCUGUCAAAAUCCUUGAAGAACAAAAAUGAGUCAUUUACAUUCUGUGUUCUUAUGCUUUUUGUGGUUUACUGCCCUUGCUUUGCCCUUUGUCCAUAUUUUAGGAAGAUUAAAAGAAAUUUUCCCCUCCAAUUUUCUAUCAUCCUAUUUAUCCAUCCAUCCCAUGUUUAUAUAUCCAUCCAUCCAUCCAUCUUAUGUUUCUGUCUCUAUCAUCUAUUUAGCAUUUUAUCUAACCAUCAUCAGUCUACCUAUUCAUUAUCUGUCCAUCCAUCCACUCUAUACUUAUAUCUCCAUCCAUACAUUUGUCCUUCCUGUACCUCAGUCUGUUACCUGUCUAUUCAUCCAUCUAUCAUCUAUUUACCUACCCAUCAUCUACUAUCCAUCUAUCCAUCUCCCUACCCAUCAUCUGUUUAUCUAUCAUCUAUUGACCUAACCAUCAUCUGUCUGUCUGUCAGCCUAUCUGUCUAUCUGGAAUCUAUCUGUCCAUCAACUGUUCACCUGUACAUCAUCACUCUUGUCUAUCUCUGUCAUUCAUCACUAGCCUGUGUAGCUGGACCUCGAUGGUCUGCACCUGCCAGUGAAACCAUGCCUUCCCACAAAUUCCCCAUCUACCUGUCAAUUGUAUGAGCUGUUCAUCUUGGGUCCCCUCUCCGCCUAGGCUUUCAGCCUUCCUGAACUGUGUGGGGUCUGAGUUUAAAGUUUGGGGGUCUGGGUUCUGUUAAGCAGGUGUGUCAUGGAACUGUGCAGCCAUCCUUGCCCUCAGGCUGCUGCCCCUUUUGCAUUGCAUUUCAAAUAUGAGACAGGCUUCCCUUAAAGUCUUACACCAUGACAGAAGCCAUACUGUCCUGAAGAGCCAGAGACCAAAAAGGAGAAGAGGCACAGCAUAGAUAACUCAUAAGCUGACUAGAUGUGGCUACUUUAGAGUUUCCUGGUGAGUCUGCCUUGGGGCUCUCUCAUCCAGGCACCCCAACUGGCUUCCAGGUGGUCUUCAUGGGAAGAAGGAGCUCUCUUCCUCCCCUGGGGGGCUUUGUGUAUAGCCCCCACAUGGGCCUAGCCCAGCUACCACCCGGGCCCAGCUCUCUAAUCCUCAUUUCCUAUCUCAAGACCAGUCUUUCCCCAGGAUGACUGACACAGAGUGUCUACUAUGUUCUACAGGGACCACCCUCAGACUUCUCGAUUGCUUUUUGGUCCAUCAGACAAGAACAGCCCAUCAGAACACAGCAGUCCAGUGUCAGCAUUCACUGAGACACAGCCUAGGGCAACAGCCUUUCCGUGCGCGGAGAUACAAUGCACCCCACCAGGUUCCUGGUUCUGGACUUUCCUCAGCCUGAGAGGAAGAUGGUGCCUUCUGGUGGGUUCUCUAGCCCAGACCUGGCCUCCUGCAGAUACAGCAAAGGUGUCAUUAUGAAAAGAAGAGAUGGGGACACAGACACAUGACCACGAGAGGACUCAGGAGAAGGCUGCCUUCUGCAAGCCAAGAGGAGAGGGCUCAACAGGCCAAGCCAGGACCACACACUCCUGAGCUCCCUUUUCCUAAUGCUGAACCGAUGCUGAACCUCGACUUCCAGCCUCCACGACUGAGAAAAUGAACUUUUAUGUCAGCCACCAAAUCUGAACUGCUCUGUUACGGUAGCCCUAGCACGCUGGUACACCUAUAGUUCCUUUUCCCAUUGUGGUUUCAACUUAAAAAAGAAGCAAGCUGAGCUGGGCACGGUGAUCCACACCUGUAAUCCCAGUGGCUUGGGAGGCUGAGGCAGGAGGAUGGUCAUUUCCUCCCCCUGCUUAAAGACUCUGAAAUUAGUGCUGAAGAAGCCACUGGGAACAGAUGAUAUUGAAGAUUUCUUCAAAAUUGCCCACUCAGGCCCCAUUCCAAUGGCUUCUGCUUCUACACAGCACCUUCUGGCCCACAGCUCUCCCAGGCUGAUGAGGAGGGGCGGGUGGAGCUUCCAUUGCCUGGUAAGGAUGAUGGUGGGGAUGCAUUUUCAGCUCCCUCCCAAGGUACAGGUUGCCUCGUUCUGGAAUUUUCUUUUACAUGACAU